UUAUAAACGAUGAAAGAGAAGAGUAACGCUUUAUGGUUACAAUGUAGAGAGUAGACUGGAGGGUGAAAAGUCUAUAGUACAUAAAGUCGUGAAUUACACUUGGGAGUUUCAAUGGGAAAUCAUUGCGGAGGUCAGCCGAUAUAUUGACAAAGAGGCAUCUAUAGCAUAGAUGCAAAUUAAGGUGGUACCACGGGUCUUACUCGUCCUUAGC
rnacentral:ncRNA from 1 species